AGAGUUUGAUCCUGGCUCAGAACGAACGCUGGCGGCGUGGAUAAGACAUGCAAGUCGAGCGGGAUUUUUUCCUGUAGCAAUACAGGGAAAAGUCUAGCGGCGAACGGGUGCUUAACACGUGGGCAACCUGCCAAGAAGUGGGGGAUAGCUCGCCGAAAGGCGAAUUAAUACCGCAUGUGAUCAGAGUGGACAUCCAUUCGAAAUCAAAGUCGGGGCAACCUGACGCUUCUUGAGGGGCCCGCGGCCUAUCAGCUAGUUGGUGAGGUAACGGCCCACCAAGGCUUAGACGGGUAGCUGGUCUGAGAGGACGACCAGCCACACUGGGACUGAGACACGGCCCAGACACCUACGGGUGGCAGCAGUCGAGAAUUUUUCUCAAUGGGGGAAACCCUGAAGGAGCGACGCCGCGUGGAGGAUGAAGGUCUUCGGGUUGUAAACUCCUGUCAUUUGGGAACAAGGUGUGCGCGUUAACUGCGCGCGCAUUGAUAGUACCAGAAGAGGAAGAGACGGCUAACUCUGUGCCAGCAGCCGCGGUAAUACAGAGGUCUCAAGCGUUGUUCGGAUUCAUUGGGCGUAAAGGGUGCGUAGGCGGCGCGGUAAGUCGGGUGUGAAAUCUCGGAGCUUAACUUCGAAACUGCAUUCGAUACUGCCGUGCUUGAGGACUGGAGAGGAGACUGGAAUUUACGGUGUAGCGGUGAAAUGCGUAGAUAUCGUAAGGAAGACCAGUGGCGAAGGCGGGUCUCUGGACAGUUCCUGACGCUGAGGCACGAAGGCCAGGGGAGCAAACGGGAUUAGAUACCCCCGUAGUCC
rnacentral:rRNA from 1 species